rnacentral:rRNA from 1 species
AUAUUGGAUAAUGGGGGCAACCCUGAUCCAGUGAUGCCGCGUGUGUGAAGAAGGUCUCCGGAUCGUAAAGCACUGUAAGUUGGGAGGAAGUGCUUUAGGUUAAUACCGUGAAGUUUGUACGUCACUCACAGAAUAUGCACAGGCUAACUCUGUACCAGCAGCCGCGUUAAUACAGAGCGUGCAAGCGUUACUCGGAAUUAAUGGGCGUAAAGCAGGCGUAGGUGGUUCAGUAAGAUGGGUGUGAAGUCCCCGGGCUUAACCUGGGAACUGCUUUCAUAACUGCUGAGCUAAAGUACGGUAGAGGGUAGUGGAAUUUCCUGUGUAGCGGUGAAAUGCGUAGAUAUAGGAAGGAACACCAGUGGCGAAGGCGACUACCUGGACUGAUACUGACACUGAGGUGCGAAAGCGUGGGGAGCAAACA